CGGGUCGGCCAGGGAAUGGCUAUAAAACCUAGUAUUUGAAACUGGGGGUCAAGGGGUCGUCGGUUCGAAUCCGGCCACUCCGACCA
rnacentral:tRNA from 1 species